rnacentral:snRNA from 1 species
UCUCGAGCACGCACGAGCAC